UGGCAAACUUUGGAGAUUUCGAGUGUCC
rnacentral:piRNA from 1 species